UGAGCCCAUCGGGUGACCGCGGCCGGCGGCACUGCUUUGGCGGUGUCCGGCGGCUGAGGAAGGUCGGGGCUCCACAGGACAGGAUGCUGGCUAACGGCCAGUCGGGGUGACCCGCAGGAAAGUGCCACAGAAAACAGACCGCCGGCCCCCGGGCCGGUAAGGGUGAAACGGUGCGGUAAGAGCGCACCAGCGGUCGGGGUGACCCGAUCGGCUCGGUAAACCCCAUCCGGAGCAAGGUCAGACGAGGUGUCGGGCGGUCCGUCCGGCGCCGGCAACGGUGCCGCACCUCGGGUGGACCGCAGAGAUGGAUGGUCACCGAACGGAGGCCGGCAACGGCCCCGGGAACAGAACCCCGCCUACAGAUGGACUCACCCG
rnacentral:RNase_P_RNA from 1 species